GCAGUCGUUGCCACCCGCGGAGAUGAAAUGUGAGCCUGGGUGGCCAAGGACGCCGGAGUGGCCGCCUUCCCCGCGCCUGAGCGCAGUGGGGCGAGACAAAGAGACCUGGGCCCCCAGCGCAGCCCGUCUCGGGCCACGGGCGCCCCAGCUCCGCGGAGUCCCGCAGUCGCUGGCCCGGGACGCGCCCGGCCCGGGCUCCCUUGGAAGGCUCCCUAGGCAAUGGCCGGGUCUCUGCUCCACCCGGCUCUCAGGAGCGCUGCUCUCUCCAUCUGAUCGCCCUCCAUCCUCCCCAUUCCCUCCGGUUCCGGGCUCUCCCUUCGCUCCAAGCCUCAGGCCACCGGCUUGGAUGGACGCUCCGAGGCUACCCGUGCGUCCAGGGGUCUUGCUUCCGAAGUUGGUCCUGCUCUUUGUCUACGCAGAUGAUUGCCUUGCUCAGUGUGGCAAAGAUUGCAAAUCUUACUGCUGUGAUGGAACCACGCCCUACUGUUGCUCCUACUACGCUUAUAUUGGGAAUAUCCUCUCAUGCUGCUGUCCCAGGUAGAGGUGCGAGUAUAACUUGGAGAAUGUGAAGUCAAACUGAUUCUGUGAUUCUUUGGUCAUCUGGCUCCUAGCUUAGCUCUUGAUUCACUAACUAUAUCAUGGAGUGUGCUGUGUGCCCUCUUUCUCACUCCAUAGCUACCUCCACCCUGAGAUUUUUGAACAUGAGGGCAACUACCCGAAGAUAGAAGCCUCAGAAUAUUUAAAAAUGAGAAUUGGGCCAAUUCAAGAAAUAAACAAUUUCCCACCAGAUUGAUUCUCAAACAUUUGAUUCAGCAACUCUGCUUCAUGGAAGAUAGAUCUGUGAUGAAUAUGGAAAGGGAUGUUUAACUUUUUGCUGCUAAUGAGAUUUAAUUGGCAUUCCCCAGAAAGUAGAUCCAGUGUAAAAAUGUGGUUUAUAGAGUCCUCUUCGGAGUUGGUAGAAUUUAAGGGAAUAGAGGGUGCAAUUGAGUGGUUAAUUACUGUUAUCCAGUAGAACAAGCUAAACAUGGAACUGAAGUAAAGUUGAGGAAAAUGAAGGUAUUCUCUUUUGUAAGAGAAUAAUUGUACAAUACUGAAUAUGAACAAAAUAUUGACUAGUUUGGACAUAGUGAGCUAGAUGACAAUAUAUCGCAUUUAAUUUCCUAACUCAAAAAUAGAUUUUGCUUUUCCACUUUGCCAUUGUAAAGCACUCAUCGGUCUGUGGAUUCUUCAGAGCCCCAUCUGGCCAACAUAAAAUCCCCACAGGAAAAAAAACCAAGAGGGAGAACUAAUAAUGGAGAUCCUGGUGAGAUUAAAUUUCUUUUCUUCUCAAUGAAAUGUGAAAGAUGUAUUACCCGCAGUUUGGCAAAGACAGCUAAUAAAUAUCACAACCGUGAUUUGAGAGCCAUGCUAUGCAUGAAAGCAAAACUGAGUUAAAAGAUAAAGGUUUCAUAUUUUCGAGUGGCAUUUGAGGUCCUAUGAUCAUUAAGUAUCUUAGUGUUCUGGAUUAAUCAGGUAAGGCUAUUCAAACACUGACAAACGUAACGCAUUUAAAAAGGCCUUUGGCAUUAGUAAAAAAAAAAAAAACCAUUUAAAUUAAUUAAGUUAAAAUAAUCUUAGUAAUUAGAUAUGAAAAGACCUCUAGGAGGUACAUACUGAAGAAAUCAAAGCUUGUGGGAGUCUUAUUUUUGUUUUAAUAAUGACACAGAUAAGUAACUAAUAUGAUGUUAAAAUAAAUAUGAACUUGAUUUAGAAUGUAGCAACAACUUAUGUUUGCUAUAAGAAGGAAGUCAGUGAUUUUCAAAUGUAUAUUUGCAUUCUAUGAGUUAUUGUAUUAAAAGAAAAUAUAAAUGUGUAGAUAACUAAAACUUUUCUCAGUCCAAUUUCUAUGCUGUUAUAAUUGUCUUUGUAAAUUAAGCCUAAUUGUCAGAAACAGAAUUGGUUUUGAGGAAGGAAAAAUAAGGUUUCUAGAACAUGUUUUCCACAAUUUAUCUUACAGCUAUGUACAGUUUUUAGUGAUCUACAUCAGGUGCCGGAGGAUAUAGCCAUGAAUCAAACAUCACGUUCCUGCCCUUGAGUUGCUUAGAAGCUACUGAGGAGCAUAGACACAUCAGCAGAUGAACUUGCCACUGGAAGCACAAAAUGCAGUGGGAUCAGAGACGAGGAGCUUUUAUUCCAACUUUAGAUUGCUGGAAAGGCCUCUUAAAGCAGGGUAAUUCUAAGAUCAGUUUUAAAAGGAAAAGCAAUUAAAGUCAUCACUCAGAGUUAAAAUGCUUAGCAAACUAGGGAUAUAGAAGAAAAAAUGUUUAACCUAAUAAAUAUAUAUUUUAAAAACCACCACCCUAUCUCAGGCAGCAUAAUCAAUGGUAUGUUGUUAUAACCCUUGCCUUUAAAGGCAAAAAUAUGACAAACUAGUGCCUUCUACCACUUCUAGUCAGCAUUGUACUGGAAGUCCUGGCCAGUGCAAUCAGCAAGACACAUUUUUAAAAAGGUAAUAAAGACUGGAAAGGAAGAAAGUAAAUUGCUCUCAUUUACAAAUGAGAUGAUUGUCAGUAUUUCUCAGACUAUGAAAAAUAACGGAAUUCACCAAAAUUGCAGGAUAUAAGAUCAGUGUCCAAAGUGGUAUAUUCCUACAUACCAUCAACAAUCAAUAAGAAAAUGUAAUAGAUAUGUGCAUAAAUAAAUCUAAAAUACAAUAUUUAAAACUAUAAUAUAUCCAGUAAGGAAUCCAGUAAUAAUAUAUGCAUUUAGUGAGUAUUAUAACCAUGUAAAAAUUACAAGGGAUAAAGAGAGACCUAAUGAAAUUAAGAGACAUAUCAAAUUGUGGAUGCAGGUAUUGUAAAGAUGUCAAUAUUUAAACAUGGCAGUUCUUCCUGAACUAUCUGUACAUUCAGUGCAAUUCCAAUCAAAAUCCACAAGAACAUUUUAUGUUGAAUUUGAAAGAAUGGGCCUAAAAUUUAUGUGGGACAGUAAAGAUCGUGGGAAGAGAAGAGAGUUAUGAAAAAGAAUAAGGUCAGAAGAUAUGCCUUACAGACAUCAAGAUUUAUUAUAAAGUUAUAAAAAAGAAAUUGUGUGAUAUUGGUUAAUGGAUAAACCAAAAGAAUUUGGAGCUUAGAAACUGACUGACGUAUAUAUGGAAACUUGAUGGAUAACAGAAAUGGCAUUACAGACUAGUGGAGGUGGAUAGAUUAUGUAACAGAUGUUGCUAAAAUAACUAGCUAUCCAUAUGCAUAAACAUUAAAUGAGAUCAAUUCAUCACUCCACAAUAAAAAAUCCACUCUUAUCAGACUAAAUAUGUAAAAACAAAAAGCAAACAAUUACAUUUUUUUAAUGGGAGGAGAAUAGCAUUUAUGGUAUCAGGAUAGAAAAAAUGUCUAAAAUAAAAGAUUAAAAAACACAAAAGAAAAGAUUACUAAAAAACACCGAACUGUACACUUUAAAAUGGUGAGUUUUGUGGGACGUGAAUUAUAUCUUGAUUUUUAAAAUUUUUAAUAUAGAGAGCAACAGAAUUCCUAGAUAAAAAUGUAAGGCAAACCCUCACUUGGAGAAGAUAUUUGCAAUUCAUAUGAUUCACAGGAGAUUAGUAUCCGCAAUGCCUGAAUAGGAUAAUGGGCAAUGUGUGUGCACAAAAAAAGGCAUAGAGCAGAAAACUGGAUGGUCCAUAAACAAGUGAAAGAUGAUCCACCUGGCUAACUAAAGCAGGACAAACCAACUUAAAACAUUGAAAUACCGUCUCAUACCCAUUGGGCUCAAAUACUCCGUAAGUCUGAUAGUGCCAAGCAAUGUGGGCAAAGAUAAAAGGGCUCUCACAUUGUUGAUGGGAGAACAAGAACUGUUCCACAUAGAGAGCAAUCAGACCCCAUAUAGUAAAGCUGAAGAUAGACAUACUUUAGGAUUUAGCAGUAACACCUCUUCAAGAUAUAUUCCCUAGGAAAUUUCCAAAUAUGCCCAAGGAGACAUUUAUACUGUUGAUUGACGUAUUAUUUAAAAAAUAGCAAAACAUUGGAAGCAACCCACACCUCCAUCAGAAGACCAAGUGGAUAGAGUAUAUUCGUGCAAAGGAUACAGCAAUUAAAAUAACUCAGUUCAUGUUAACAUAACAUUAGAGUAAAUCUCAAAACGAAUAAUGCUGUGUGAAGAGCUAACUGAAGAGCAAUGUGUACUACAUGAUGCCAUUUGCAUAAACACAUAAAAUAAUUCUGUGUAUUAUUUAUGAAAACAAACACAUGUCAUGAAUGUGUAAAUAUCUGAGGGAGAGAAGAGUACCAAUGAAUUUCAGGAUUGCCCAGGACUGAGAAGUUUCCAGGGAUUCAAUACUUUGAGUGCAGCAACCUGGAUGGUCCCGGGCAAACUGAGACACAUUGGUCACCCUAGGGAGGAGUGUUGGGAAGUGGCCUUCAACUCUGACAUUUCAUUGCUUAAUCAUGGUGGAUUGCAUCUGCAUUCACAGCUACACGGGAGGCUGAGGUGGGAGGAUUGCCUGAGCCAAGGAAUUUGAGACCAGCCUGGACAACAUAGCAAGACCCUGUCUCAAAAAAUUGUUUUAAAUUAAAUAUCUCAAGAAAGUAUAAUUAUUAACAUGUAAUAAAUCCAGGUAGUGGCAUAUGGGUGUUUUAUAUUAUCUAUGAUUCUUAUAUGUUUGAAAAUUCUUGUAAUUAAAAAAAGGCAAUGGAAAA